rnacentral:rRNA from 1 species
UACGUAGGUGGCAAGCGUUGUCCGGAUUUAUUGGGUUUAAAGGGUGCGUAGGCGGUCUUGUAAGUCAGUGGUGAAAUACGGCAGCUCAACUGUCGAGGUGCCAUUGAUACUGUAGGACUUGAGUACAGACGAGGUAGGCGGAAUUGACGGUGUAGCGGUGAAAUUCGUAGAUAUCGGGAGGAACACCAGUGGCGAAGGCGGCGACCUGGGCCAAUAUUGACGCUGAGGUGCGAAAGCGUGGGGAGCAAACAGG